ACUUGCCACAUUGUGUUCACGGUCAGGAAGCAGAAUGGUGCUUCAAUAAAUACCCCUAAAUAUUAAUGAAGAUUCCUGAACCAUUCUAGGUGGGAGAAAGAAGAAGGAGCAGAGUCCCUAUGUCCUUGUUCUAGGGUGACUGGAUUGUAAUUUGUGAAUGCAGGUAUAAAGUUAGAGAAAUGACUUGAUGAUUCUUAUGAACAUUCUGUUCAAAUAAAUGAUGAUUCGGCUGUUGGAUGUGUGUAAUCCCCACUCCUGCUCAU
rnacentral:lncRNA from 1 species